CUGGGGUCGCGCGGAGCUGCUCUCCGUCUUCCGGAAUGGUGGAGGCCUCGGCGUGCACGGCUUCUCGGCCUCUGACGCGCCCGGGCGCCGGACAGGGGCGCUCGGCCGCCCUGAGGGUGGUGAGACGCCUUUCGCAGCCGGGCCGGCCCCGAGGAUCCCGUGCCCUGAGUCCGUGGAGGGCGGACGGCAGCGGCCUGGCUUCGCCCACGUUGCUGGUGGACCGCAGGAGGCUCCGAAGCGGCUCCCAGGCUGCGUACGCACGCCAGGAAAUGGGAGAUGGAUGGGUUUGAGUGCAUUUGAUUUUAUUGGUCAUCGACUGCGUGUCAGGGAGAUACUCAUGUAAGCAGGGGAUUUUUUCGUGUGAAAGAGAAAGGCCUCACCAUAGGUAGGCAUGUAUGCCUACGGCAUCACAGUUGAGAUCAAGUCAACGUAGGAGUAAAGUGCCAUUUAAGGUUUAGAUCUUGAUAGUUGUUUCAAGACGCAGAACUCGGCGAAUGAGUGUCCUCAACUUUGCAGGUGAAAGCUGGAUGCUUGAAGCAAAGACUGCUGCCAGCUGAACACUGGGAGCACAAAGGUGACCUAAGGAUGUCCUUGAUGAAGAAUUCAAAAACAUCAUAGGAAAUCUUGACAAGAGUUGCUUGGAUCAUUUAAGACUCCCAGGAGCCUGAGGGGUACUAAAAUUACUGCUUUUGGACAGUCUAUAAAUACACACUUAAAACAGUAGGGCUACAAAUAAAUAUUUCAUUUUGCUUCG